AAGUUCCAAGACUUCCUUGAAGCCCAAGCCCUCAGCACGUGGCUGAAAAAGGGGAACUUUAAAGUGCCAUACUUUAAAACAGCGCUCAACAGCUUCAAAGUACAUCGUCAAGACAGAAUUGAUUCACAAAUGAACGAUACAUUUGAAACCGUUUGCAACAGUGUACACCACAGACUUCCGGAAGAAUCCGACCCAACAGCACUUGGCUGGAAUAGGACAGGCGGGCUCAAACAAUAGAAUGGAAUUGCAAAUUUAAUCGCAUAGGCCCGCCGUGCAUUUGACUGAGUAUCGUAACAUAGUGCACAACACACAAAGAUUGAACAAACUAAAUUGACUUUUUUCGAUACAACUGUUUCUUUUGACAAAUUCGAUCUUGUCUCAUUCUUAUGUUUCAUUGAAUUUCGGAGUUGCUUUGUUGUGGAAUACGAUGUUGUUUUAAGGAAAAGAACGUGAGGUUGCUUGUUGUUUUCAAAAUAUCGUGACUUAUGUAAGUAAAUCCAAACAUAUUAAAUGAAAAUCGUUAUCUGAACAAAGCGUGACUUACCGGGCGAGAGGAACGCCUGAACUAAUGUUGCCUUUUGAAGAACGAAGUCACAUUGUUCACGACAGUGAAAGUGCAAGUGAUCAUCUGAAAAGUCUGUAGAAACAUGAAAGAGCCCCAAAAACGCACCGCAAGUACAAAGCACCAAAAAACGUUUUGUGAAUCACAGGAAUGGAAGUCAUCUUUAACAAUUAGAUAAGAUUCCCUACAGUAUGGAAACAGGCCCAUCGGCCCAACAAGUCCACGCUGCCCCUUGGAGCAUCCCACCCAGACUCAUCCCCCGAUAACCCACUCACCCCUGAACACUAUGGGCAAUUUAGCAUGGCCAAUCCACCUAGCCUGCACAUCUUUGGACUGUGGGAGGAAACCGGCGCACCCGGAGGAAACGCACGCAGACAUGGGGAGAAUGUGCAAACUCCACACAGACAGUCGCCCGAGGCUGGAAUGGAACCUGGAUCCCUGGCGCUGGGAGGCUGCAAUGCUAACCACUGAGCCACCGUGCCGUCUUGUUUUGGACUGUCAAUUUAGUUUUGCAGCAACCAGCUUUUGGACUCUCAUUAGCCUGUUAAAUUGAUAGACUUGAGGCCUGCAGGAAGUUGAAAUUGCACUCAGUCAAUAAGACUAUUAUCUAAUGUUUGGAUUUUCAAAUUACCCUACCUGACAAUAGUGUGCUCUUUAAGACUUAACAUUGAAAGAAAGCUCAUAGCUGUUAACAACCCCAAUGACCUCAUUCUCACUGAUUUUUCUCCUUACCCCUAGCCCUGCCUUCUACCUAGACUCCACAUAUACAACAUAGAACAAUACAGCGCAGAACAGGCCCUAUAGCCCUCGGUAUUGUGCCGACCUGUGAACUAAUGUAAGCCCAUCCACCUACACUAUCCCAUCAUCAUCCAUAAGCUCAUCCAAGGACUGUUUAAAUGCCCCUAAUGUGGCUGAGUUAACUACAUUGGCAGGCAGGGCGUUCCACGCCCUUACCACCCUCUGAGUAAAGACUAUUUCCAAUAUUCUCUGCAGAUUAUCUGAUCACUCACCAAGCUGCUCCAUCCCCUAUGAUCCUCCCCUUCAACCUCCAAACCUUAUGAUUCUCUUGUUCAUGUGUUAAUAGAAUGCUAACAGUAGUCCAAAAUUGUUCUCAAAGCCUCAUGUGCAUACACAGCACAGAAGGAGGCCAUUAAAUCCAUCAUUUGUCCAUAUCAGUCAACAAAGAUCUGACUACAUUCAUCGUAUUUUCUAGCUCUUGGCCCAUAUACCUGUAGGUCUAAUUACUACUGAUAUGUUACAAGAGUUUCUGACUCGAUCAUUCUGUCAGGUAGUCAGUUCCUGAGUCCCAUCAACCCACUGAAUGUUUUUCCUCGGCUCUCCUCUUUUCCUUCUGCUUCUUACCUUCAAUCUACGCUGCUGGUUAUUGACAGAAAUAGAAAAAUGUCUUCCUAAUCACCCGAUCAAUGUCCCUCAUUAUCUUGUACACCACCAUCAAGUCCCCUCUCAAUUUUUGCUGCUCCAAGGCAAACAACCCAAGUCUAUCCAAUCUUUCCACAUAUCUCAAACCCUCUAGCCAAUGUGCCAUUUGGGUAAUUUCAUCUACAUCCUCUCCUUUCAUUCUUUAUUUCAUUAAUUUGUUCAGUUGGUGACCAGGAUUACUCUCCAUUUGUGGCCUAUCCAGCAUUUUACACAGUUCCAGCAUAGCCUCGCUGUUCUUGAUUCUGUCCCUUAGCUAAUAACGGUAAGUAUCCCAUCUGCCUUAUCAAUCCCUUAUCGACCUGGCCUGCGACCUCCAGGGAUAUGUGAAUAUGCACUUGGAAUCCCUCUUUUCUUCAGUAUUUUCCAGGACGCAACCAUUCAUAGUCUAGUGCCUGGCCUUGUUGCUCCUCCCCAAGUGCAUUGCCUUACAAUUCUCCAGGUUGAAUUCCAUUUACCAUUGCUUUGCACACCUCUCUCAUCCAUUGAUAUUCUCCUCUCUAUUUACCACCGGACAAAUUGUUGUUACAUCCACAAAUAUCUUGAUCAUGCCUCUUGCAUUUAAGUCCAAAUCGUCAAUGUACAUCAUAAACACCAAGGACCCCAGUUUCCACUUGAGCUGUGUGAAACCCCACCCGGAAUAGACUUCCAGAAACAUCCCUCUGUUUUCUGACACUGAUCUAAUUUUGGCUCCAAAGGGUCACUUUCACUUGAUUCCUAUGGGGUCUUACUUUCUAGACAAGGGAAAGUUGCCAUGAGGGAUCUUAUCAAAAAUGCGUGCUAAUGUUCAUAUGGACCACAUCAAAUGCAUGCCCCUCAUCAACUCUCCUGGUUACCUCUUCAAAAGAAUUGAGCAACUUUUUCAAAUGCAACCUGUCCUUCACAAUUUCAUGCCGACAAACCCUGAUUAAUUCAUAUCACUCCAUAUGUAAAUAUAUUCCGUUUGUCAGAAUUAUUUCUUGUAAGAUCCCUAUCAUUGGGGCUAUAUUGACUGGCUUAUAAUGUCCUUGUCUAUCCCCUUCCCUUUUAUUAGAAGAUGGGACAAUAUUAGCAGUUCACAGGUCCACAUGCACCUCACCUGUGUCCAUAAAGGAUUCGGAAAUUGCCGUCAGAUUCCAUCACAUCUCCUCCCUCGCCUUAACUAAGAAAUCUUGUUGUGUGAUGGGGCCCUGAAUACUCUUGAUGCUCAGGGCCUGAAGAAUUUUUAACCACAUUGGUACCUAAUGCUGUAGUUGCCACCUGCAUAUUUUGUGGAAUAUCAUUAAUUGUUUGCAGGGUGAAUAGAUUGUUUAGACAUUCCAGUGCUCUGAGAAACAAUUUAACAUUCUGCACCUUCACUUACCAUUCCCAUGCUGCUUGUCAUUCUGUUAAGAUAUCUAGUGAUAAGGGUAGGAGCAGACAGUUGGUUGGCUAAAACUCUGUAUUGUAGUUCACACAAUGGGAUUCCCCAGCACUUUGAAACAAAACCAGAGAGAAGGCAGUGUACUGAUUCCAAAGUUUGUACAGCCACAGGGAAAGCAUUCAUAAGCAAAACCAAGUCUACGAUUAGAACCUCAGGAACAGUGUCCUUGAUCUGGUUACUACAUACUUCCUGAAUGGAAAACUAAUGAUUUGAAGUGAUUUGAUUUCUUUUAUUCUGAACUCCAGCAGUGUCUGUGCUACAUUUAAGUAAAUACUUCUCUUUCAAAAGAAGCUUCUAAAAGUUUUUCGCUGAUCUGAUAUUUCACCCAACCUAAGCCUUUAUCAGGUUCAAUGUACUCAGGGAAUAUGAACUAAUUAUUACAAUAAGCUAAUAUCAAGAAAUCAUGCAAAGUCAUCUUUCAUAAUAAAUUUGGUGCAGUAUAUAAUGAACCAGUCCUGCUGUGACAUUGAUGGAGCCAAAUAAUAAGCCCAUUUUUAAGAUUUACAAUAGUAAAGGAUGUAUGAAAAGUUUAAAAGUGUAGGCUGAGAAAUUUUAAAAGAUUAGGAACUCUUGCUCCAAUCAUUAGAAUAAAAAAAUUCUCUUUCAUCAAGUUAAUGUAAAAAAUGAGAACAGGAUUGAUUGGAACGCUGCUCACAUCCUGCAAAUUCAGAUGUCAAGUUGCUGUCUACAUGAGGCCAGUUGGCACCCCCUGUUGGUUCAGCCUAUGUAAAUAGAUUUCUGCAAUAUCAGAAAGCCAAAUGGUCUCAUUCUCAAACAAUGCAACAACAUAAAUAUGCAACAAAACAUGAAUCCUCGGCUGAAACUAUAGGUUGUUUAAAAUUAAGUGAAUAUCUAGUCUGGAUAUUACACAGAAAUAAGAGAUUUAUCAAAGGAACAAAACACAUUUAUAUUUUGAUCAUAAUGCACUUUAUUUCAGAUUAUUUGUAUUCGAAUGUGUAUGCCUGUA